rnacentral:rRNA from 1 species
AUGCCCUAUGACGGGAGUGCGACGACCUCGUUCCCAUCAGCGCCGCCGCCAUCCCAAGGCGUCCACAUCCAGCAGAUCAAGUCCCUGCCGUCGCCGUCACCGCUUCCAUCUUGGAUCGCUACCCGCCAUGUGUCGGCGGCGGUGAGGCUGCAGGCUGCUGCGCGAGGCCUCCUAGCGCGUCGGCGUUUGUGGGAGAUGCGUGGUCUGCAGCUGCCACUCCUCCAAGUUGCCCUUCGCUGCGCAAAGGACCUCGAUCUCGUCCACUGCGUCGGGGAUCUUGGGCAUGUGGUUUCCCCCACGGGCGGCCGGCAUGCUGUUUUCCCCGCGCGCAGCGACCUCAAAGUCUGCGACAUCGGCGGUUGGGGGGGCGCACCCCUCGUCAUUCUCCAUCACAAGCCCUCCACUCUUCCCUGUGCGGUGCAGACCAACAGCCAUACACAUGCACUCCUUUUGUCCAGGUGGUGUCCAUGGGAUCCAGGUGGCUGUACAUGUGCACAUCCAAAAUAA